rnacentral:lncRNA from 1 species
ACAAACAGUGUGAAGCCCUAAAUUCAUCCAUGGCUGGGCUUCAAGCCAACGAUUUUGACUCUCUCUGUUCUCAAUUCAUCAAGGAAAGAAACCGCCAACCUACGGAGGUUGAAGAAGCAGCACUUACUCUCUUGAUGCUAUCUCAGGAGAAUCGGAGUUGGCACACUGGUCCAGCCACCAGUGCCGCCACCGCUGAAAUCGU